AGUGAACGCUGGCGGUAGGCCUAACACAUGCAAGUCGAACGGCAGCACAGUAAGAGCUUGCUCUUACGGGUGGCGAGUGGCGGACGGGUGAGAAAUACAUCGGAAUCUACUUUUUCGUGGGGGAUAACGUAGGGAAACUUACGCUAAUACCGCAUACGACCUACGGGUGAAAGCAGGGGAUCUUCGGACCUUGCGCGAUUGAAUGAGCCGAUGUCGGAUUAGCUAGUUGGCGGGGUAAAGGCCCACCAAGGCGACGAUCCGUAGCUGGUCUGAGAGGAUGAUCAGCCACACUGGAACGGAGACACGGUCCAGACUCCUACGGGAGGCAGCAGUGGAGAAUAUUAGACAAUGGGCGCAAGCCUGAUCCAGCCAUACCGCGUGGGUGAAGAAGGCCUUCGGGUUGUAAAGCCCUUUUGUUGGGAAAGAAAAGCAGCAGAUUAAUACCCCGCUGUUCUGACGGUACCCAAAGAAUAAGCACCGGCUAACUUCGUG
rnacentral:rRNA from 1 species